rnacentral:lncRNA from 1 species
UGGUAGAAAUUUCACAUUUGUUUUCUUUGAGCGAAACACAUUAAAACUAAACACAUGUGUGAUUGAGUGCAUAUCCCGUGAGAAGGUCGCUAGUUUGCAUAUGAUGAUUUUUAAAAAUAAAAACUUGAAAUUGCAUUAGCAUGGCUAUCUCACACUACACUUCAAGGAUGAUUUAAAGAUUACUGCUAAUAUUUGAAUGAGGAAGAUGAACUUGGAUUAGUUUGUUGGUGUUAGCUAUGGUUCUUGAUGAUUUGUUUUCUCGAAUGAAAUUCUAUGAGGGUCACAUAGGGGAAACUAAUGUUUUCAUGUUAGUACUUUUUCAUGUUUUCUUUGUUUUGCUCGAGGACUAGCAAAAGCUAAGUAUGGGGGUAUUUGAUCGGAUCAUAUUUAUAUAUAUUUUUACUUCAAAUUCAC